rnacentral:rRNA from 1 species
CACGUAGGGGGCAAGCGUUGUCCGGAUUUAUUGGGCGUAAAGAGCUCGUAGGCGGUUCGGUAAGUCGGGUGUGAAACCUCCAGGCUCAACCUGGAGACGCCACCCGAUACUGCUGUGACUAGAGUCCGGUAGGGGAGCGUGGAAUUCCUGGUGUAGCGGUGAAAUGCGCAGAUAUCAGGAGGAACACCGGUGGCGAAGGCGGCUUCCUGGACCGACACUGACGCUGAGGCGCGAAAGCUAGGGGAGCAACGGG